rnacentral:rRNA from 1 species
AUUCGGUAGCAGACAACAGGGAUUACCUCAGUAACGGCGAGUGAAGCGGUAACAGCUCAAAUUUGAAAUCUGGCCCUCUUAGGGUCCGAGUUGUAAUUUGUAGAAGAUGCUUUGGGUGUGGCUCCGGUCUAAGUUCCUUGGAACAGGACGUCAUAGAGGGUGAGAAUCCCGUAUGUGACUGGCGGCCUUCGCCCGUGUAAAGCUCUUUCGACGAGUCGAGUUGUUUGGGAAUGCAGCUCUAAAUGGGAGGUAUAUUUCUUCUAAAGCUAAAUACUGGCCAGAGACCGAUAGCGCACAAGUAGAGUGAUCGAAAGAUGAAAAGCACUUUGGAAAGAGAGUUAAACAGUACGUGAAAUUGUUGAAAGGGAAGCGCUUGCAACCAGACUUGCAUGCCGUCGAUCAUCGUGGGUUCUCCCGCGUGCACUCGGCGGCGUUCAGGCCAGCAUCGGUUCCGGUGGUUGGAUAAAGGCCUUGGGAAUGUGGCUCCUCUCGGGGAGUGUUAUAGCCCUCGGUGCAAUGCAGCCUACUGGGACCGAGGACCGCGCUUCGGCUAGGAUGCUGGCGUAAUGGUUGUAAGCGACCCGUCUUGAAACACGGACCAAGGAGUCUAACAUCUAUGCGAGUGUUAGGGUGUUAAACCCUUCCGCGAAAUUAACGUGAACGGAGGUACGAACCCUUUAGGGCGCAGUAUCGACCGGUCCUGAUGUCUUCGGAUGGAUCUGAGUAAGAGCAUAGCUGUUGGGACCCGAAAGAUGGUGAACUAUGCCUGAAUAGGGUGAAGCCAGAGGAAACUCUGGUGGAGGCUCGCAGCGGUUCUGACGUGCAAAUCGAUCGUCAAAUUAGGGCAUAGGGGCGAAAGACUAAUCGAACCAUUGGAACCUAACUACUAGGUGGUUAAGAGAGCUCUUCUAGUGCCGGGUCGGCUCGACCCGGGGCAAUACCGUCAAAUUGCGGGGACCUCCCGUGAGGCAUGGCUACCGCAGCAGGGGCGAAAGCCCCCGCGCGCACCAAGGGUAACGACCUUGGGGAUGGUAAGAACGCCAUGGCCUGGGAUGAUUCGCAGCCAAGCCCUACCGCCCUCCGGGGCCACGGGUGCAGCUCAGAGACUAGAUGUCGGUGGGUGGCCAGGCCGCCUAAGUUAUAGUCCAACCCCCCUAGGUAACUAGGGGUCACCAGGACAUUGGGCA